UCUAUAUCUUCCUAGGUAUUUUUUUUACACUGGUGGGGGAGUACCAAGAUGGAGGCACGGUGGCUUCAAAACAGUGCCCCUUUAUUAGUCAUCUAGUGUAUAUAGAAAGCAUAGUGGUUUUUCAUGGUAUUUUUCAUUGUAGUUCAUAGAUUUCGGCACCAGACGGUGCUACUGAUACAUGCUGCGUUGCUAUAUGAAGCCGAUACACUGCAGAGCUGUUGAUGAAGGGGGUCACGACACAUUACACACACUGUUCUACUGUAGCGAGUCUCACUGCUUGGCUCUGCUCAGACCUACUGCACUAUAGGGGAUAGGGUGUCGUUUGUAGUGCAGACAAUGUUCCGUUUAGUUUUAGCUUUACAAAUUGUGUUUCUCAAUACAACUUUCCAUGAUAAUGUACGUUAGUUUAAUGUUAGUUUAAACCUUGACUUUUAAUUGCGAUGCUCUAGAAAUAUUCCAUCUGUGAUUCUAUCUAUGAUGACAUAUUUAGUUUGCUUCAGAUUUACGCCAUAUUAUCCACUAGAUAGCUGCUGUUUCCGGGGGUAGCCCAUCGAAUGGAAACUUAGAAACGUAUCAUCCAGACUAGCAAAGGACCAGCAAGAGAUGUGUCAUGUGUCCAACGUCCGUCCUCAUCCUUUUCUGUCUUGCAACUUCAAUGAAGUUAAUUAUUUAACUGUUCACGACACCCCUAUAUCCCUCGUUUAGCCUUUUGACCCGAUUGGCUAUAGGAACUGAUCAUAGGACUGACCUCUACUGUCUGCAGCUACUGACUCAAUGUUACUACCGCUACUGUCAAAAACUACUGUUUGUGUGCAAGUGAUAAUAAGGUAUGUUGUUUUGAAUGAAAUACAGGACAAUGAUCUCUAGAUACAGGUGAAUUACAGGACUAUGAUCUCUAAUGGUGAAAUACAGGACUAUGAUCUCUAAUGGUGAAAUACAGGACUAUGAUCUAUAAUGGUGAAAUACAGGCAUAUGAUCUCUAGAUACAGCUGAAAUACAGGACUAUGAUCUCUGAUACAGGACUAUGAUCUCUAAUGGUGAAAUACAGGACUAUGAUCUCUAAUGGUGAAAUACAGGACUAUGAUCUCUGAUACAGGACUAUGAUCUCUAAUGGUGAAAUACAGGACUAUGAUCUCUAAUGGUGAAAUACAGGACUAUGAUCUAUAAUGGUGAAAUACAGGACUAUGAUCUCUAAUACAGGUGAAAUACAGGACUAUGAUCUCUGAUACAGGACUAUGAUCUCUAAUGGUGAAAUACAGGACUAUGAUCUCUAAUGGUGAAAUACAGGACUAUGAUCUAUAAUGGUGAAAUACAGGACUAUGAUCUCUAAUGGUGAAAUACAGGACUAUGAUCUCUGAUACAGGACUAUGAUCUCUAAUGGUGAAAUACAGGACUAUGAUCUCUAGAUACAGCUGAAAUACAGGACUAUGAUCUCUGAUACAGGACAAUGAUCUCUAAGGAUGAAAUACAGGACUAUGAUCUCUGAUACAGGACUAUGAUCUCUAAUGGUGAAAUACAGGACUAUGAUGUCUAUGGAUGAAAUACAGGACUAUGAUCUCUAAUGGUGAAAUACAGGACUAUGAUCUCUAAGGAUGAAAUACAGGACUAUGAUCUCUAAUGGUGAAAUACAGGACUAUGAUCUCUAAUGGUGAAAUACAGGACUAUGAUCUCUAAUGGUGAAAUACAGGACUAUGAUCUCUAAUGGUGAAAUACAGGACAAUGAUCUCUAGAUACAGGUGAAUUACAGGACUAUAAUCUCUAAUGGUGAAAUACAGGACUAUGAUCUCUAAUGGUGAAAUACAGGACUAUGAUCUCUAAUGGUGAAAUACAGGACUAUGAUCUCUAAUGGUGAAAUACAGGACUAUGAUCUGUGAUGAUGAAAUGUAUAUCUGUGCUGUUUGAUCAUGACUACUUGAAUUACAUUUGGUGGAAAUACAUAACGACGAACGCUGUAAUACUUUCAGAUGUUUAUUGAAUAAAUACUGGCAGAUGUAUGACUCA